rnacentral:rRNA from 1 species
CGAGAAUUUUUCACAAUGGGCGCAAGCCUGAUGGAGCGACGCCGCGUGGGGGAUGAAUGGCUUCGGCCCGUAAACCCCUGUCAUUUGCGAUCAAACCUUGCUAUUUAAAAGAUGGCGAGCUGAUAGUAGCGAAAGAGGAAGGGACGGCUAACUCUGUGCCAGCAGCCGCGGUAAUACAGAGGUCCCAAGCGUUGUUCGGAUUCACUGGGCGUAAAGGGUGCGUAGGUGGUGGGGUAAGUCGGAUGUGAAAUCUCGGAGCUCAACUCCGAAAUGGCAUUGGGAACGACCCAGCUAGAGGGUCGGAGGGGGGACUGGAAUUCUCGGUGUAGCAGUGAAAUGCGUAGAUAUCGAGAGGAACACCAGUGGCGAAGGCGAGUCCCUGGACGACUCCUGACACUGAGGCACGAAAGCUAGGGGAGCAAACA